UGGCUCAGUCGGUGGAGCAUGAGACUCUUGAUCUUGAGGUCAUGAGUUCAAGCCCCAU
rnacentral:tRNA from 1 species